rnacentral:lncRNA from 1 species
ACCUGUUCCGGCUCUACCCUCUCCUCACACAGGCCCUGCAGCCAGCAGCUGCACAUGGACAGCCAGAACAAAAGCACACAGAUGGCUUCUCAGAGGCAGCUUAUGCAGUGUAGGGGUGGAGGAUCGCAGUGGGGUUCCUGCAGCACCUCACAGCCCUGCUUUGCCUGCCGGUGAAUCGCAGGGGCUGCUCUGCAUUGUGCCAUCGACCACCGGGGUGUCAGACUGCAGUGCACAGCUUAUUCCUGUGGAGGAACCCAACUAAAAAGAUCGAUCGCCUGGAGGAAGCCCAUGGUUUCUGUAUGAAUGCUGGAGAAAAAAAAACUGCUCUUGAAGAACUGG